AUUGAACGCUGGCGGCAUGCCUACACAUGCAAGUCGAACGGCAGCACGGGUGCUUGCACCUGGUGGCGAGUGGCGAACGGGUGAGUAAUACAUCGGAACGUACCUUAUCGUGGGGGAUAACGCAGCGAAAGCUGUGCUAAUACCGCAUACGCCCUGAGGGGGAAAGCGGGGGAUCGAAAGACCUCGCGCGAUUAGAGCGGCCGAUGCCUGAUUAGCUUGUUGGUGGGGUAAAAGCCCACCAAGGCGACGAUCAGUAGCUGGUCUGAGAGGACGAUCAGCCUCACUGGGACUGAGACACGGCCCAGACUCCUACGGAAGGCAGCAGUGGGGAAUUUUGGACAAUGGGGGCAACCCUGAUCCAGCAAUGCCGCGUGAGUGAAGAAGGCCUUCGGGUUGUAAAGCUCUUUUGUCAGGGAAGAAACACCGGCUCUAACACAGUCCGGGAAUGACGGUACCUGAAGAAUAAGCACCGGCUAACUACGUGCCAGCAGCCGCCGUAA
rnacentral:rRNA from 1 species